rnacentral:misc_RNA from 1 species
AUAAGGGACAGGUGAAUCAUCGAAUCUUUGAACGCACAUUGCGCCCCUUGGUAUUCCAUGGGGCAUGCCUGUUCGAGCGUCAUUUGUACCUUCAAGCUUUGCUUGGUGUUGGGUGUUUGUCCUGCCUUUUGCGUAUGGACUCGCCUUAAAUCUAUUGGCAGCCGGCAAUCUGGUGUUUGAGCGCAGCACAUUUUGCGCUCUUUGCUGGUAUUGUGGCGUCCCAUGAAGCCUAUAUUCUAGCGCUUGACCUCGGAUCAGGUAGGGAUACCCGCUGAACUUAAGCAUAUCAAUAAGCGGAGG